AGGAUUAGAUACCCUAUUAUACUAAAACUAAAUUAUAAUUCAUACUAUUAAUAGCUAUGUUCUUAAAAAUAAAAAAAUUUGGCGGUGUUUAAUUUAUUUAGGGGAACCUGUUCUAUAAUCGAUAAACCACGAAAUAUCUUACCUAUAAUAUUAUUUUGUAUACCGUUAUUAUUAGGUAGCUCUGAGAAGAAUAGAUACUAAAAUUUUCAAGAAAGUAUAUUAGAUCAAGGUGCAGACUAUAUAUAGGCAAGAAUGGGUUACAAUAAUUUUUGUUUAAAUGAAUUUAUAUAUGAAAAUAAAUAAUGAAGGUGGACUUAAUUGUAAUUUUAUAUUAAUAAGUUAAAAUGAUAUAAACACUUAAACGUGUACAUAUCGCCCGUCGCUA
rnacentral:rRNA from 1 species